GGCUUAACACAUGCAAGUCGUGCGAGAAAGUAUCUUCGGAUAUGAGUAGAGCGGCGGACGGGUGAGUAACGCGUAGGAAUCUACCUAGUAGAAGGGGAUAGCCCGAGGAAACUCGGAUUAAUACCGUAUACCUCCUUAGGGAGAAAGAGGGCCUCUCUUGAUGCUCUCGCUAUUAGAUGAGCCUGCGUAAGAUUAGCUUGUUGGUGAGGUAAUGGCUCACCAAGGCUACGAUCUUUAGCUGGUCUGAGAGGACGAUCAGCCACAUUGGGACUGAGACACGGCCCAGACUCCUACGGGAGGCAGCAGUGGGGAAUAUUGGACAAUGGGCGCAAGCCUGAUCCAGCCAUACCGCGUGUGUGAAGAAGGCCUUCGGGUUGUAAAGCACUUUAAGCAGGGAGAAAAAGUUAUAAGUUAAUACCUUAUAACCGUGAUGUUACCUGCAGAAUAAGCACCGGCUAAU
rnacentral:rRNA from 1 species